AUACUUGCCUGGCAGGGGAGAUACCGUGAUCACAAAGGUGGUUUUCCCAGGUCCAGGCCCACCCACUGCACUCCAGACGUGCUGACCCCCGCGAUUUCCCCAGAUGUGGGGAACUCACCUGCAUGAUUUGUGGUAGUGGGGGACUGCGUUCGCACUCUCCCCUA